CGAAAGCCUGGCGGAGCAAUACCGCGUGCGGGAGGAAGCUUUUUGGAGUGUAAACCGCUUUUCUCUGGGAAGAUAAUGACGGUACCAGAGGAAUCAGCAUCGGCUAACUUCGUGCCAGCAGCCGCGGUAAUACGAGGGAUGCAAGCGUUAUCCGGAAUUAUUGGGCGUAAAGCGUUCGUAGGUGGUCUUUCAAGUCUGUUGUUAAAGCAUGGAGCUUAACUCCAUCCAGGCAAUGGAAACUGUUGGACUAGAGUAUGGUAGGGGUAACAGGAAUUCCCAGUGUAGCGGUGAAAUGCGUAGAUAUUGGGAAGAACACCAGCGGCGAAAGCGUGUUACUGGGCCAUUACUGACACUGAGCGACGAAAGCUAGGGGAGCG
rnacentral:rRNA from 1 species